UCCUACGGGGCGCAGCAGUGGGGAAUAUUGCACAAUGGGGGAAACCCUGAUGCAGCGACGCCGCGUGAAGGAAGAAGUAUUUCGGUAUGUAAACUUCUAUCAGCAGGGAAGAAAAUGACGGUACCUGACUAAGAAGCCCCGGCUAAAUACGUGCCAGCAGCCGCGGUAAUACGUAUGGUGCAAGCGUUAUCCGGAUUUACUGGGUGUAAAGGGAGCGCAGGCGGCACGGCAAGCCUGAUGUGAAAGCCCGCGGCCCAACCGCGGGACUGCAUUGGGAACUACCGGGCUGGAGUGCCGGAGAGGUG
rnacentral:rRNA from 1 species